rnacentral:rRNA from 1 species
UACGUAGGGGGCAAGCGUUGUCCGGAAUUACUGGGCGUAAAGGGAGCGUAGGCGGUCUUUUAAGUUAGAUGUGAAAUACCCGGGCUCAACUUGGGAGGUGCAUCUAAAACUGGAGGACUUGAGUGCAGGAGAGGAAAGUGGAAUUCCUAGUGUAGCGGUGAAAUGCGUAGAUAUUAGGAGGAACACCAGUGGCGAAGGCGACUUUCUGGACUGUAACUGACGCUGAGGCUCGAAAGCGUGGGGAGCAAACAGGAUUAGAAACCCCAGUAGU